CAGGAUUCCAUUAUACUGACGAUAAUCCACGGUUAUUCACGUCUGAGCACUGAUCCCUGGUGAAGCUGGGGUGAAGUGAGAGAGAGGAAGAAAAGGAAAAUGUCUCGGAGGUUUUACAAGCAGACAAAGGGGUGAUGCCGCCGCGGCUGCAGAGGUGAGCUGUGGAGAAUCGGCGGGGCAGAAUCAGGCCCAGAGGCGCAGAGGGGAAGGACAGAGCAGCUUUCUCAUCCGCAGCAAGAUGAACAUUGCAGUGGGCAUACCGUGGAGCCAGACCACCAGCAGAGCAUUAAACAAGGACAGAUGUGAAUGCCAGGAUAAAAAUGAAGACAUUCCUGAAGUCGUGAUCCCUUGAAAACACAUUCACAAAGAAGGAACCGGAGGAAGUCCUUUCCAAAAGCGUCCCUGUGCACGUGGGGGGACAGUUCCAGCUCCGGCAGAAGUGCCAUUGCUGCUAUUUUCACCAUCAGCCGAAGCUUAAUUUCUCCCCCGUGACCAACAGCUCCGGCUCAGCGGGCAUCAGGGGCGUGAGCACGGCUCUGCUUCCCCGCUCUCUCCCACCUGCGACACACCAGCUCAGCACCAGCCCUGGGGUGCCUCACCCAAAGACGCUCCCCACCGCCCACGGGCACCCCGAAAAAUAGCCGAGCAAAAUCUCUUCCUCUCGAAUCAACAGCAAAAAGCCACUGAGCUCCGUGGGGAUGAACACAGCCCCUCUUGAGGCUUUUGGCUUUGCAGCCACUUCCAGUAGGCAGCACGGGUCCCCUGGCAGCAGAAGCCAGCUGAUACGCUAAACUCUGCUAAAGUAGUGUUUAGAGAAGUAGUAAUUACUAACAUCCUCUCUCAGUCAAGCCGACACUAACCAGGCCUACUGCUAGGUGUGUGUAUACACAUACUCACACUCGAUAGAUAAAUAGAUACGUGCAUACACCCCAGGAAAAAUAUCUCUCUGUAAGGUGACGAGGUCUUACUUUAAAUCAAGUACUUGACACUAAUAAAAACAGUGUAUUCGGGCAUAAGAUCUCGCAUACUGACUGGCUACGAGGUAAGUCAGUAUUAAGCAAGACUUUAUCUUCUGCGCUCUCUGUUGGUUUUCUUUUCCAUAUCACAAGUAUUCUUUGCAUCUUUCCAGAUGUUUGUAAACAGACCCUUAAAAAUGUAAGCUUAUUAUAUUGUUUACUUGAAAUGAAUAUAAUCAAAGGAAAUACGGGGGAAGUUUGGCAGGAAUUGCAUGCGUUCAUGUCCUGUGGUUUUAAAAAUGACCCAAAAUGCCGACAAUUUUACUUAAAAACUAUCUAUCAUUACUUCCUCCCUUCUCAUAAGGGAUUUUACUAUGCAAACUGUUUUGUCUGAUUUUUUUUUAAAGAAUUGCAAGUGGGAGGUAAAAUCAUCAAAGGUAUCCACAUGACUUGGGAGAUUACCAAACUGAUUAGGGUGUCAAAGUACCUUUUGCAGAGAGGCAAAGACUCAUUAACUAUUUAGAUGCUUUGAAAAUUUUAUCUAAUGCUCUUACCCAAUGAAUUUCCCCAUGAUUUUUGAGAGGCUAUCAAUCAAUCAGCAGCAAAUAAUUCACCAUCUCUUAACAGCAGACAAAUGUUAAUUUAUAAUGAACACAUGUGUAUAACAAAAUACCGUUCGAUGAUUUGACGAAGAAAUCAAAUAGUGAUUAGGAAAAAGAAAAUCUUACUAGGUCAUCUUAUUGCCUACGGCUAUUUGGUUUUAUUCUUAUUAGUAGAAAAAUCAAGUACUGGCAGGUAAUAGAAACCGUGCACAAACAAAAGUGGUGAUAGCUACCUUAGAGAUACCAUCAAUAGAAUUAUGUAUCUAAUAUUGGUUUCUGGCAGCGUUUGUUAGAAUAUUGAUUUCUGUAGAGGAAAAACAGUGAAUGAUUUUACGGAGACGGAAUUAAUUUAAAAAACACAUCUGACUGAAAAUAUCUUGUUUUCUGUGAACUUGAUUUUGCUCUCACUCAAUACUCAAUCCUGAAAGAUGCCAAACAGCCAAUCUCCAUUUCAGCAAAAUACUUAAAUGCAGAUUUCACUUUAAUCCUAGCAAUUUUACUGAAACCACGCGUUUACCAACGUCGGAGAGAAACUUCAGCAGAGCUACACGUUACAAGCGAGAAACUCAGUAUUCGCUGCAAUUUGCUCAGAGGAGAGUAAGAGCCCUACUUUAUAAUUAGUGUCUGAGUUAAUUCCGAUCCAAAAGAACUAGGGAGCAGUAUUUUCCUCCUGUCUUGCUUUGGAUGUUUCUUUGUGUUUCCAGUAAUAUUUUUAGGGCCUAUUCCUGCAAAUAUUUUUCUACAUGAGUAAUUCAACUCCUCUGAUGAAUACUAUUGAAUUCACUAGGGCUAGAUUCAAAAGCAGAGUUACUUAUCUGGGCAAACGCAUGCAAGACAAGGCUCUUAGGCAGCUCCCCAUGACAGUAGAGAAGAGAAAAAUAUGCUUGUGGGACUAAGGCCUGGAGGAUUGGGCCCAUAGCCAGUGACAUUAUUUUUUUUUUUUUUAAUAACGAGGAAAACCCACGCAUGAGUGAAACCAUAUGGAAAACUGAGUUAAGGUGAGGAGGUUUUAAAUAAUGCUUAUUUAUCAUUUUGAAAGAAAAAAAAAAAUCCUGUUCCUGCCUAUUGCAUUUUAUACUUUAAAUGUAGGGACUGACUCUUUGGCCAAAAUUCCUCUCCUUGUCAGGGGGAAAAUUAUCUGCUUAGACUGUUGCAGGAUCAGGCCCUGAAAAGUCGUUACAAGUUUAUUGGCGGAGCUUGCUCACUUCCACCUCUUUCUUAUGCUCUGUUUUUCCUAUCCCCGCACAGGAAGAAAAUUAAAAGUUAAGCUAAAAUACAUUAACUAAUAUCAGUUUAUUAAUUGGAGAAUUUAACUUAUCCUUUUUGCCAUUCAUCUGAAAUUAAUUAAGUGUGUAGAAUUACCAGGUGGGUGUACCACAGGCAGCAGUCCAGGCUCAAGUUAAUCAAAAGAGCACAUGUUGAAUGCAUACAAUUUAGUUAAGGUUAAUCCAGUGAAGAUGAUCCCUCACUGGUCCUAAUUACUCUAGGUGAUAGAUUGUGGAAUGAGAAAAUAGGAAGGAAGGGAAAUUUUGUCCUGCUGGUCUACCAGGAUUUUCUAAUUAAAUUUAGUAGGCUAUGCACGGGAGCAAAUAGUUUCAAUUUAAAGAGAAGACCACACUCCUGGGGUGCUUGUGUGAAAUGAGUGUAAGGAACUUUGAACUAAUAUAGUUAGGUACCGUGCCUUAAAAAUAGUAAAGUUAGAGCUGGUCGCUGUGCCUUUACAAGCUUUCACGCACUGCGUCCCCCGGAGCGUUUCAGACUUAAUGUAAAUGUUUUGUUGGAAUUGU